GGCACUUGUGCCCGAGUGGCGAACGGGUGAGUAAUACAUAAGUAACCUGGCCUUUACAGGGGGAUAACUGCUGGAAACGGCAGCUAAGACCGCAUAGGUAGGGACACUGCAUGGUGACCGUAUUAAAAGUGCUGCAAGGCACUGGUAGAGGAUGGACUUAUGGCGCAUUAGCUGGUUGGUGAGGUAACGGCUCACCAAGGCGACGAUGCGUAGCCGACCUGAGAGGGUGACCGGCCACACUGGGACUGAGACACGGCCCAGACUCCUACGGGAGGCAGCAGUAGGGAAUUUUCGGCAAUGGGGGGAACCCUGACCGAGCAACGCCGCGUGAAGGAAGAAGGAAUUCGUUCUGUAAACUUCUGUUAUAAAGGAAGAAAGACGGAUGGAGGAAAUGACAUCCGAGUGACGGUACUUUAUGAGAAAGCCACGGCUAACUACGUGCCAGCAGCCGCGGUAAUACGUAGGUGGCAAGCGUUAUCCGGAAUUAUUGGGCGUAAAGAGGGAGCAGGCGGCAGCAAAGGUCUGUGGUGAAAGACUGAAGCUUAACUUCAGUAAGCCAUAGAAACCGGGCAGCUAGAGUGCAGGAGAGGAUCGUGGAAUUCCAUGUGUAGCGGUGAAAUGCGUAGAUAUAUGGAGGAACACCAGUGGCGAAGGCGACGAUCUGGCCUGCAACUGACGCUCAGUCCCGAAAGCGUGGGGAGCAAAUAGGAUUAGAUACCCUAGUAGUCCACGCCGUANACGAUGAGUACUAAGUGUUGGAAGUCAANUUUCAGUGCUGCAGUUAACGCAGUAAGUACUCCG
rnacentral:rRNA from 1 species